GGUCCUGCGGCAAAGACGACCUAGCGGUGCAGUCCAAAGCCGCAAGGCAACGCAUUUGAAAGCAGGGACCGAUUGGCGAAACGGGAGCAUGCGUCGCCGGGGAGAGGGUACCAGCAAACGUAAGGUAGUCGUGUCCUGACAUAGCUCACGUCGGUAAAGCACGAGCCUGUUAUGUACUGAAGUUCUCACCCUGGGCCAGCAGGGGGAUACUGUAGAUAGUUAUGCAAAUAAGGGAUCGAAAGUGACGUUCAGUGAUUGGAUAGUUUUAGAAAAUUGUUACAGUUACGUUGUACUGGAGCUCUAUAUAAGCAGGCUGACUGAACCCUUCAGUUCAGUUCUGUCCUGGCCUAUGAAUAAACAAGAGCUGUUGAAGAAUCGCUGUGUCGUCUGAUAUGUUCACCCACAACUUAACAGAGCCACCCGCUGUCAGGGGCGAGGGUUCAAGACCCAUGCUGUGUGAGUGUCUGGAGGGUGUUGGAGGAUGGAUGGCGGCUAACAGAUUGAGGUUGAAUCCUGUCAAGACUAGGGGUCAGCAACCUUUUUCAACUGUGGGCCGGUCCACCAUCCCUCAGACCCUGUGGGGGCCCAGACUAUAUUUUGGGGGUGGGGGAAAUGAACGAAUUCCUAUGCCCCACAAAUAAUCCAGAGAUGCAUUUUAAAUAAAUUUCUACUCUUGUAAAAACAUGCUGAUUCCCGGACCGUCCGCCGGCCGGAUUCAGAAGGCGAUUGGGCUGGAUCUGGCCCCCGGGCCUUAGGUUGCCUACCCCUGGUCAAGACGGAAGUCUAGUGGAUGCAUCAUGUUCGCAACCUGCAGUGGCGUGUCUGCGCACACAUGGGUUGCGAUUUGGUUCUUCUGCGCAUGCGCAAAGCACGAUUUAGCGCUUCUGCCGAAGCCAAAACCCAGAAGUAACCCAUUCCAGUACUUCCAGGUUUUGGCGGUCCGUAACCCAAAAAAACGCAACCUGAAGCAUCUGUAACCUGAGGCAUGACUGUACUGUUUUUUGGGGCUGGAGUGGGCAGGUGUGGGGGACUCCCUGGCCCUGAAUGGGGUAACUGUAGCCCUGAAGUACCAGGUGCGCAGCCUGGGAAUCAUUUUGGACUCAUAGCUGUCCAUGGAGGCGCAGGUCAAUUCUGCGUCCAGGGCAGCUGUCUACCAGCUCCAUCUGGUACGCAGGCUGAGACCCUCCCUGCCCGCAGACUGUCUCGCCAGAGUGGUGCAUGCUCUGGUUAUCUCCCGCUUGGACUACUGCCAUGCGCUCUACGUGGGGCUACCUUUGAAGGUGACCCAGAAACUACAACGAAUCCAGAAUGUGGCAGUAGUCCCAGGAAGAAUGUAUACAAAAACUUACGGAAUAUGCAGAAAUAGCGAAACUUACUGGAAGAUUAAGAAAUCAAUAUAAACUUUUUAUAAAAGAAUGGAAAUGUUUUUUUGAGUAUUUACAGAUAAAUUGUAAGCAGGUGAGAACAUUGGCAGGAUCACUGCAAUAGCCUGCAGUUUCAUAAGAGUAUAUAUUUAAAGAAGAUGAAUAAAGGAGCAAAUUAAGUUAAUCUGGAUAUGCAGAAGAUAUUGAAAAUAAAUUUAAGGAACCGCAGAAAGAGGGGAAAGGAAGUCAAUUUUGAAAUGUCAAAACGAUUGUAGAAUUAGUGAAACGUAUAAACCAGAAAAUCAAAAUAUUAUACAUGUAAAAAAAGCGCUGGAGAACCAAGUUUGGGAAAAUGAGCUAGGAGGACCAAUUGGCUUGACGUUCCACAAAGCAGCCUUCCUGUGUUCCGAAGUAAAACCAUUAUUUCCACCCACCCAUUACGUGCCUUUCCACCGUCAUCUGACAAAUCGACCCGGUCCCACAAAUAGCUCAAAGCCACAAAAAUGUUGCUGAAGGUUUUCAAGUAGGACAAGAUUCCUUUGUUGCCUUCAUCAGUCCCUCAGAUCUCAAGAGAAGGGAACAUUGAGAAAUUGAGCUGGUUUAUGGUGCGUUGAAGAGAAGAAAGGCUAGCCAGUUUUUUCCAAGAUGGCACCAAGCACACACAAGCUUCCUGGAAAACGUUGAUUGAACCCUAGCGGCACAGGAACGCAGUUAAGUCUUGCUUCUUGGGAUUGAAAGAAUUCUCUCCUCUUAAAAAGAUGAAUGGACCGUGUCACCAUUAAGAAAAAGAGGUCAGACCAGGCCAAUAUGUCCUUGGAUCAAGGGUCUUUUCUUCUUUAAGUUCUCAAAGCUCUUAACCGAUCUCAAGGUUGUCUUCUGAAUGAGCCAGACGUUUAACUGAGAAUCGAUCACCAUCAGUCCAUCCUUUGAAAAAUAAGACUUUAGAGCCAUCUUGCCCAGAAAUGGCAACUAGACAUUCCUUUUUGGCAACUGUAACCUUGGUUUGGAAGGGACGCGGGUGGCGCUGUGGGUUAAACCAGAGCCUAGGACUUGCCGAUCAGAAGGUUGGCGGUUUGAAUCCCCGUGACGGGGUGAGCUCCCGUUGCUCGGUCCCUGCUCCUGCCAAACUAGCAGUUCAAAAGCACAUCAAAGUGCAAGUAGAUAAAUAGGUACCGCUCCGGCGGAAAGGUAAACAGCGUUUCCGUGCGCUGCUCUGGUUCGCCAGAAGCAGCUUCGUCAUGCUGGCCACAUGACCCGGAAGCUGUACGCCGGCUCCCUCGGCCAGUAAAGCGAGAUGAGCACCGCAACCCCAGAGUCGGCCACGACUGGACCUAAUGGUCAGGGGUCCCUUUACCUUUAACCUUGGUUUAAGGAGACAUUUGGUGUCUAGCUUUUAUAUAUAUAGUAAUAUAUAUAUAGUAAUAAUAAUUUAUAAUUCAUACCCCACCCAUCUGGCUAGGCUUCCCCAGGCACUCUGGGCGGCUCCCAACAAAAUAUUAAAAAUACAAUACAACAUCAAACAUUAAAAGCUUGCCUAAGCAGGGUUGCCUUCAGAUGUCUUCUAAAAGUCAGAUAGUUGUUUAUUUCCUUGACAUCUGAUGGGAGGGCGUUCCACAGGGCGGGCGCCACCACCGAGAAGGCCCUCUGCCUGGUUCCCGGUAACCUCGCUUAUCGCAGGGAGGGAACCGCCAGAAGGCCCUCGGAGCUGGACCUCAGUGUCUAGGAUGGAUGAUGGGGGUGGAGAUGCUCCUUCAGGUAUACUGGGCCAUUUGGGGCUUUAAAGGUCAGCACCAACACUUUGAAUUGUGCUUCGAAACGUCCUGGGAGCCAAUGUAGGUCUUUCAGGACUGGUGUUAUGUGGUCUCAGCAUCCACUCCCAGUCGCCAGUCUAGCUGCCGCGUUCUGGAUUAGUUGCAGUUUCUGGGUCACCUUCCAAGGUAGCCCCACAUAGAGCGCAUGGCAGUAGUCCAAGCGGGAGAUAACCAGAGCAUGCACCACUCUGGCGAGACAGUCUGCGGGCAGGGAGGGUCUGCUUGCCAGAUGGAGCUAACACAGGUUCCAGGGUCCAUGUCUCCUUUUGGGAAUGAGGCACAGUGGAGAGUGUCUUAUCUUUAGUAUAUAUGAUUUCCUGACACAUAUAUACAACCUGAGACUAAGAUAGAGGUGCUCACAGCAUUAGCACCCCAAGAGGGUAUUGCUUCUCCCAUAGUCACAGCCUGGGAUUCCCACCAAAAUCAGGCAUGGCUCGGUUUCUCUGCUUCAACUCUGGCUUUUGUUUUUCCAAACACCUGCUAGCCAGGGGAUGCGGGGACGCCCAUUUGUUUUCUGACACAGAGCCAGUUCCUUUGUUAUCUUAAUGACCCAUACUUAGGCCAUUCCCAAUUAACUUGUCUGAUUUUUUUUUUAAAUAAUAUUUAUUAAAGUUUCACAAAAAAAGAAUCACAUUAAUAAGAAAGAAAAAUUUAAGAAUAAAAAAAAAUACACAAUACAAAAUACAAAAUACAAAAAGAUAAAAGAAAAAACAGUUAAAAACAAUUCCGUCUUUUCAUAACUUCUUUUACAUUUACUUGUUUCCCGGACCUCCUCAUACCUCCCUCUUUUGUAUUCCAAUUUAGUUUGUUAGUCCAGCAAUUUCUUUCCCUCCUUUUUAAUCCCAAUCCUUAAUCUUAAUAUAUUAUAACAUUAAGUUUUUACCUAUUAAAAACCAAUUUUUCCAUUCUUUUAACCUUUUUAAUCCUAAUCCUUAAUCUUAAUAUAUUUAUAACUUUAAAGCCUGUACAGCUAGAAGCCACUUAACUUCAGUCCAACAUCACUCUAACAUUCAUUAAUUUUGCAAUAUUUCUGUAAAUAAUCUUUGAAUUUCUUCCAAUCUUCUUCCACCGACUCUUCUCCCUGGUCACGGAUUCUGCCAGUCAUUUCCGCCAAUUCCAUAUAGUCCAUCAAUUUCAUCUGCCAUUCCUCCAGUGUGGGUAGCUCUUGUGUCUUCCAAUACUUUGCAAUGAGUAUUCUUGCUGCUGUUGUAGCAUACAUAAAGAAAGUUCUGUCCUUCUUUAACACCGAUUGGCCGACUAUGCCCAGGAGAAACUUGUCUGAUUGCUCCAGCAAUUGGAUCAUUGUUGUUUCCGGGAAUUAAAAGGCACUCAGGCGUACAGCCUAACAGCAACCCUCACCCAGUAAACGUACAACAAUAUUUAAGAUUGCUUGUUUGGAAACCCAACUUUUGUUUGUCCUGAGUGCGCCAUGGCUACGGACUUAGAAGAAAUGUGAUCAUAGAAUCACAGACUUGGAGGGUCAUGUAGUCCAACGCCCUGCAAUGCAGGAACGCCUCAGCUAAAGCAUCCAUAACAGAUGUCCAUCUAACCUCUGCUUAAAAAUCUCCAGGGAAGGAGAGCCCACAGCCUCCUGAGGGAGACCGUUCCACUGUGAUUGUGGAGGGCAUGUGUGCCAAAAAUCACACAAACCUGAGCUACGUACACUUCUCAGGUCAAGGGGGAAGAAACCUCAAAAGCUUGCAAAAAUCUACCAUUUGCCUGAUAAUAAAUGUUGGAAAUGUAAAGAAACUGAAGGUACAUUUUUUCACCUUUGGUGGACGUGCCCAAAGAUUAAGGCUUUCUGGGAAAUGAUAUAUAAUGAAUUAAAAAAGGUAUUUAAAUAUACCUUCUUGAAGAAACCAGAGGCCUUUCUCCUGGGCAUAGUCAGCCAACCGGUGUUAAAAAAGGAUAGAACUUUCUUUAUGUAUACUACAACAGCAGCAAGAAUACUCAUCGCAAAGUAUUGGAAGACACAAGAACUUCCCACGCUGGAGGAAUGGCAGAUGAAAAUGAUGGACUACAUGGAAUUGGUGGAAAUGACUGGCAGAAUCCGUGACCAGGGAGACGAGUCGGUGGAAGAAGAUUGGAAGAAAUUCAAAGAUUAUUUACAGAAAUAUUGCAAAAUUAAUGAAUGUUAGAGUGAUGUUGGAUUGAAAUUAAGUGGCUUCUAGCUGUACAGGCUUUAAAGUUAUAAAUAUAUCAAGAUUAAGGAUUAGGAUUAAAAAGGUUAAAAGAAUGGAAAAAUUGGUUUUUAAUAGGUAAAAAUUUAAUGUUAUAUUAUAUUAAGAUUAAGGAUUGGGAUUAAAAAGGAGGGAAAGGAAAUUCUGGUCUAACAAACUGAAUUGGAAUACAAAAGAGGAAGGUAUGAGGAGGUCCGGGAAACAAGUAAAUGUAAAAGUAGUGAUGAAAAGAGGGAAUUGUUUUUAACCGUUUUUUCUUUUUUCUUUUUGUAUUUUGCAUUGUGUAUUUUUCUUUUUAUUCUUGAAUUUUUCUUUUUUGUUGAUGUGAUUCUUUCUUUGUGAAACUUUAAUAUCAUUUAAAAAACAACAACAAAAAAACAAAAAAACCUCCCAACGAGAACCAAGCAUGCUGAAUUGUCACAGAACGUUUAUAGCUAAAGCCUCUCUAGAUCACCUUCAAGGGCAGCCAACUCUGGUAACCUCAAGGUUAGAUUACUGCAAUGCGUUACACGUAGGGCUGCCUCGGAAGAAGGUUCGGAAACUUCAGCCAGUGCAGAAUUCAGCGGACAGGUUGCUCACCGGACGGCAAGACGGUUUGGGCGUAUUGCACCGAUCCUGGUCCGACUGCACUGGCUACAAAUUAGUUACUGGACCUAAUUCAAAGUGCUGGUUCUGACCUAUAAAGCUUUAAAUGGAUCACAAUACCUCAAGGACUGCCUCUUUCUGUAUGAACCUACCCGGACUGUGAGAUCAUGUUCCGAGGCCCUCCUUCCUGUGCCUCCUCCUUGAGAGGUCCGGAGGGUGGCAACACGAGAACGGGGCCUUCUCUGCAGUGGCUCCCCGUCUGUGGAAUGCUCUCCCCAAGGAAGUUCGCCUGACACCUUCAUUAUACACCUUUAGGCGCCAGGCAAAAACGUUCCAUUUAAACAGGCCUUUGGUUGAUCCAAUUUACAUCCUAUGCCCUUUUAAAAUGUGGUGGUUUUUUAGGAUAAAAGAUUCUCCAAUUUGUUGAUAUCAGACAGAAGCAGAAUCUCAUUAGCGGCUGGAGAGGUGUUAAAAAACCUGGGACGGUUCCCUAGAAUCCAUGUGGGCACUGUGUUGCACUUUUAAUUUGGAAAUCCACCCUGAUGGAAGUCAAGACCGGGCUGCAAAACUACAAAUAGUCAUAGGGGGAGGUGAGCCUUAAAUAUGUCAUUAUAUUUGUAUUUCCUGUUUGAUUCGGUAAAUCUCCCCUGGAAAGGCUAACGUUUGAUGCAACCGGUCUGGGAAGAUUACUGAGCAGACGCUUAGACUUGAUUUCAUCAGAACUGAGUGAAGAUGGCAGCUGCCAGCAGCAAAAAGACCUUUGGAUUGAUUUGACAGAAACACCAGCGUGUGAGGAGAUGCUGCAAACUUAUAGAGGUGAAUAAUAUAUACCUUCGGGUAUAUAAAACUCAAACAAAACAAAACUUGCAUGCACAGACAUGCAAGGGAGAGAAAGGGUUAACCAACCUGGGGGAAGUGGCCACAAUGACAUCAUCGAUGGACACACUGCAGGGCUGUUGGACAGGAGACUGCAUGGAGACCCCAAGAGAGCCGUUCGCCAUCGCCACUUGAGCUGCCAUCUUGCACAGCACCUCCCUGUAAGGAAAGUCGCCCAUUUAGAUUAAGGAGGACUCUUGUGGAACUGCAAGGGAUGCGGGUGGCGCUGUGGGUUAAACCACAGAGCCUAGGACUUGCUGAUCAGAAGGUCGGCGGAGUGAGCUCCCAUUGCUCAAUUCCUGCCAACCUAGCAGUUCGAAAGCACAUCAAAGUGCAAGUAGAUAAAUAGGUACCACUCCGGUGGAAAGGUAAACGGCAUUUCCAUGCGCUGCUCUGGUUCGCCAGAAGCGGCUUAGUCCUGCUGGCCACAUGACCCGGAAGCUGUACGCCAGCUCCCUCGGCCAGUAAAGCGAGAUGAGCGCCGCAACCCCAGAGUCGUCCAUGACUGGACCUAAUGGUCAGGGGUCCCUUUACCUUUACUUGUGGAACUGCAACUGUGCCCCAUCAGAGAGAGAUGGGAGAAACUGGCUUCCAUGUGCAUUUCCUGCCUUGCCACCCUUGGCCGACCCUCCUCUAUUCUCCCCCCAGCUUUUAUGGAUGUAGAACUGCCCGUCCCCCAGCUAAUUUCAUCUCCCAGCUCAGCAUUCAAUGGAAGCAAUUUCCAUUUAUGCAAAGAGAAUUGCAACACCAGAGAACCUCCUCUGCCUGUUCAUGGGAAAUUCAGUUGCGGCUGAGAAACCUCCCGGGCGGAACAUGAUGCAAAAAUCCAUACAAAGAAAAUUCUUUGCAUAUCAGGUCUGAGCAAAAAAAGAGAGAGACAGACAGACAGAUCGGACAUAUUUAAGAAGGAACAUCAGAGUUCACACAGUCGCAGGAAAGCGUGCAGUUUCAACAGUCCUGUUUGUCUAAUUUGCUCACUUGUCUGAUUACCUGGUUAAAAAUUAAGGAGCACUUUCAGAGUUUCGGCAAGAGGUGGUUUGUGAGGGGGAGCAGACCUAAACCUGUCAGGACCCAAAAUGAACAGACCCAAGUCACAACACAGUUCCGUUUUAAGAUUUUGCAACCCACACAAAGCCAGCGCAAGAGAUUUGCACCCCCCCCCCCGUCACAGUGAACUGUAGCUUUGGAAAGAAAGGGUUCGGAUUAGCAAUGCUCCCUUUCGCAUCAGCAGACUUUGGGAAACUCCCGAGGCUUGCGGAAGUACAAAAAAAUAACUUUAGAAGAAGAAACGGAAACACUAUGUGUGGGGAAAUCCCCCAAAACAGCCCAAUAAAGGGACCGCUUGUGCUUUGUGGCCACAAAAUGCCACUGGUCUAUUUCAAGGAACUGGAAUGGAGUAACCUGGGACAGGGCACCCCGAGCGAGGAUCACUCCGCGCUCCAACUUGGCCCAUGUUUUUGUCUCGUUUCCGUGAUGAGGAUAAGAGCUGGCCAGUUAAUGGAUUACGCCGAAAUGGCAGAAACUAACUGUGGAAAGCUCAGAAAUCAAGAUGACAAGAUUUUUUUUAAAAAAAAAUGGGAAAUGUUUAUUAUGUAUUUGCAAAAGUAUAGUUAAUAACAUUGGCAGGAUUUUAAGAGCACUUGUAAUUUUAGAGACGGCCCAGGAAACUUGAGGUUAAAAAUAAUUUGGAGUAGAAACGAUAUGGAGAUGAAAAAGGAAAUUUAAGGGAGGGAAGUCACGGGAUUCGGAGAAUCCCAUUUUAUGGAUUUGAUGUUGGUUUUUUUGUAUCCUUUGUUGUUUAUUUUUAUCACUUUUGUUGAAAAUGUAAUUUAAAAAUAUUAUAAAAAAGGAGGAAACAAAGAGCUGGCCGCUUAUUCGCAAUUUAUUAGCUUCUCAAUCUUCCAUUGAGAAGAUUCCAGCUGGAAAUGCAAAGCUCUUUCCCACAUGAACUGAAGUAUAUAGAGUUUCUCUCCUUCCUUCCUAGCUGACACUACGAGAGAGAGAGAGAGAGAGAGAGAGAGAGAGAGAAGCGCGUUGCUCAGCACAGACUUCGCUGCACCUGCUGCCUUCUCACUUCCAGCCGCCCUAGGGCGGCCAAAAUCAUCCAAGCCGUUUCAGCCAAUGAGAGGGCUGCCUAGCAUCAUCCCAGCUCCCGUCAUGUGAAGUCGGGUCCCCAGACGCAGCGGCAAGCUGGGGUUACUACAGCGCAUUCACCUACUAGCAGCGGUGAGCUCAGCAGCCGUGACUCCUCGCCUGAGCCACAGUCAGCAGAUCUGACUCAUUUUUGCACUUUGCACUGCAGUUGUUGUUGGUUUUGGGGCAUGCAUGCAAAAUAGCACCUUCCAAAACACAUAUACAGUGGUACCUCAGGUUACAUAGGCUUCAGGUUUCAGACUCUGCUAACCCAGAAAUAGUACCUCGGGUUAAGAACUUUGCUUCAGGAUGAGAACAGAAAUUGUGCUCCGGCGGUGCGGCAGCAGCAGGAGGCCCCAUUAGCUAAAGUGGUGCUUCAGGUUAAGAACAGUUUCAGGUUAAGAACGGACCUCCAGAAUGAAUUACAGUGGUACCUCGGGUUACAUACGCUUCAGGUUACAUACUCCUCUAACCUGGAAAUAGUACCUCAGGUUAAGAACUUUGCUUCAGGAUGAGAACAGAAAUCGCGUGGCGGCCGUGCGAGGCCCCAUGAGCUAAAGUGAUGCUUCAGGUUAAGAACAGUUUCAGGUUAAGAACGGACCUCCGGAACGAAUUAAGUACUUAAACUGAGGUACCACUUGAAGCAGGUGCAUUCCCACAUUUUAAGGUAAAGGUAAAGGGACCCCUGACCAUUAGGUCCAGUCGUGACCGACUCUGGAGUUGCGGCGCUCAUCUCACUUUAUUGGCCGAGGGAGCCAGCGUACAGCUUCCGGGUCAUGCGGCCAGCAGGACUAAGCCGCUUCUGGCGAACCAGAGCAGCACACGGAAACGCCGUUUACCUCCCCGCCGGAGCGUCCCACAUUAUAAGUACACAUAAAAACCUCAGCACCGUCACCACUGUGGAAAUAAAACGUGUGUUUGCUUCUCCACAUAAUGAGGACUGCAACCUUGCUUUGUCAGCCUGCUAGCCUACCUGGAAUUCUUGUCACCUACAGCUAGCAGGUGGGCCAGUAUGGAGCACCUGAAGGCUGGAAGCUUCCCAAACCCCUUAAAAGCUGAGGAGACCUGUGACCCAGAUGUUGUCGAUACAGACAGCUCUGUCCCAGGGAUCCAGAUGCCGGUUCUGGGUUGCCCUCCACCAGGCCUGACUCAGAACAGACCCAUCCAUGUCGCCACCAAGGGAACCCAGCCAACCAGUUUCAGUGGGUUUACUCGGAGUAGGACCAGCACUGGCUAUGAGCCAUUUUUAUUACAGUGGUACCUCGCAAGACGAAAUUAAUCCGUUCCGCGAGUGUCUUCGUCUAGCGGUUUUUUCGUCUUGCGAAGCAACCCUAUUAGCGGAUUAGCGCUAUUAGCGGUUUAGCGGCUAUUAAAGGCUUAUCGGCUUAGCGGAUUAGCUGCUAAAAGGCUAUUAAAGGCUUAGCGGCUUAGAUAAAGGGGGGGGGAAAUCGAAAAAAAAAUCUCAAGACUCGCAAGACAUUUUCGCCUUGCGAAGCAAGCCCAUAGGGAAAUUCGUCCUGCGAAGCAACUCCAAAACGGAAAACCCUUUCGUCUAGCGGUUUUUCCAUCUUGCGAGGCAUUCAUCUUGCGGGGCACCACUGUAUUUAUUAACUUCACAGGGACGCGGGUGACGCUGUGGGUUAAACCACAGAGCCUAGGACUUGCCGAUCAGAAGGUCAGCGGUUCGAAUGCCCGCGAUGGGGUGAGGUCCCAUUGCUCGGUCCCUGCUCCUGCCAACCGAGCAGUUCAAAAGCACACCAGCGAAAGUAGAUCAAUAGGUACCGCUCCGGCAGGAAGGUAAAUGUCGUUUCCGUGUGCUGCUCUGGUUCGCCAGAAGCGGCUUAGUCCUGCUGGCCACAUGACCCGGAAGCUGUACGCCGGCUCCCUCGGCCAAUAAAGCGAGAUGAGCGCCGCAACCCCAGAGUCGGCCACGACUGGACCUAACGGUCAGGGGUCCCUUUACCUUUUAACUUCACAUGCCACCCUUUCAUUCAGAGAUCACAGGGCAGUUUACAACAUAAAAACACAGAACAUAAUGAAUGAAGCAAUAAUCCUCGACUUCUUGGAAUAACCAACAGAAUGUUCUGUCUCCCUUUCAGUGACUAUCGCAGUGGCAAGGGAAUUUGUUGCAAUCCAGUGACACAUCAGAGAUGAAAGCUCUGAAAUCGUACAUUAAAUGCAUGCUACUGUGUAAUGGAUUUAGAUUAAGCCCAUGUUAUCCGGGCUGCCUUUCUUCCUUUCUUUUAAAUAAUUAGCUGCUUUUUCCUCUCAGCCUUAAAUACCUCGCAGGGUUGUGCUGAGAGGGCAAAAUGGGCAGAGGAAGGCGACGGGCGAUGCUUGCCACCCUGAGCUACUCGGAGGAAUACAAAGGUG
rnacentral:lncRNA from 1 species